UAAAUCUCAAAUUAAAUAAGAAAACCCACUGAAUUUAAGCAUAUUAUUAAGUGGAGGAAAAUAAACUAACUAGGAUUCUUUUAGUAAUGGCGAAUGAACAAAGAAUAGUUCAAUCUAAAAUUAUUUAUAUUUUAAUAUAAAUAAAUUGUAGAUUUUAAUAUAAAUAAUAAUUGUUAUAUAAAAUAAUAUUAUAUAUUAAACUUAGUUGGAAAACUAGUCCAUAGAAGGUGAAAGUCCUGUCUAUAAUAUAUAAUAUAUAUUUAUAUGAUUUUAGGUGCAAAUCUAAGAUUAAAUUAUUAUUUAUAUAGAGUCAAAUUGUUUUUUAUUGCAAUUUAAAUCAGGUGGUAAAUUUCAUCUAAAACUAAAUAUAUAUAAGAGACCGAUAGUAAACAAGUACCGUGAGGGAAAGUUGAAAAGAACUUUGAAAAGAGAGUGAAAUAGUACUUGAAAUUGUUAAAAGGUUAACCAAAUAUUUUUAGUGUAUUUAUUGAUAAUAUAUUUAAAAUAUAAUAAUAUUUUUAUUUAAUUUAUUAAAUAAAAUGUCCAAAUUAUUAUAUUAAUAUCAGUUAAUGUUAAAAUGAAUAAUAUUAUAUAAAAUAAAAAUUAAUAAUUUUAAUUAUUAUUUAUAUAUUAUUAUUAUUAUAUCAAAUGGUAUAGUAAAAUAAUGUAUAUAAUGAUUAAUUUAAGAAUAAUUAUUAUAUAUAAAUAGCAAUAUUUAUAUUUAUAGUUAUUUUAUUAUUAAAUAAUAUUUUAUAUUAAUUAUUGAGGUAUAUUUAAUAAUAUAAAUUUAUAUAUAAUAUAUAACUAUUAUAUAUUUUUUAUAUUAUUAUAUGAUUUUAACAAAAUAAAAAUAUUUGACCCGUCUUGAAACACGGACCAAGGAGUCUAAUAUAUAAACGAGUAUUAUAGUAUUAAAUUAAAUUAUUAAAACUAUAAUGCAUAAUGAAAGUAAAAAAAAAUUUUUAAAAAUAAUAUUUUUAUUUAUAAAAUGCAUUAUUAACCAAUCUAAAGUUUAUUUUAAUUUUUAAUUAAAUUAAAAUAUAAUUACAAUGGAUUUGAGUUUUAGUUUAUAUAUUAGGACCCGAAAGAUGGUGAACUAUGCCUGAAUAGAAUGAAGCCAGAGGAAACUCUGGUGGAGGUUCGUCGCGGUUCUAACGUGCAAAUUGAUCGUUAAAUUUAGGUAUAGGGGCGAAAGACUAAUCGAACCAUCGUAGUAGCUGGUUCCCUCCGAAAUUUCCCUCAGGAUAGCUACAAUUAAUUUUAUAUAAGAGUAUUUGGUAAAGCGAAUGAUUAGAGGUUUCUGGGAUUAUAUAUUCUGGACCUAUUCUCAAACUUUAAAUAAGUACGAACUAUUAAUUACUUAAAAUUAAUGAAUUAAAUAGUUAAUCUAUAUUAGUUGUAAGUGGGCCAGGCUGGGUAAGCUAGUUUGGCGAUGCGGGAUCAACCGAACGAUAUGUUAAGGUGCCAAAAUAUUCGUUUAUUUUAGAUAUCAUAAAAGGUGUUAAUUCAUUAAAACAGUAGGACGGUGGCCAUGGAAGUCGGAAUCCGCUAAGGAGUGUGUAACAACUCACCUACCGAAUGAAUUAGCCCUAAAAAUGGAUGGCGCUUAAACGAAUUAUUAAAAAAUUUAUUUUUUUUAAAUCCUAUACAUAUCCAAUAAAUAUAAAAAUUAUAUUUUAAAAAAUAUAAUUUAAAAUUUUAUUAUUUAUUGAGUAGGAGGGCGUAUUAUAUAUUAUGAAGUAUUAAUGUAAAUUAAUUAUGAAAUAUAUUAUAGUGCAGAUCUUGGUGGUAGUAGCAAAUAUUCAAAUUAAAUCUUUGAAGACUGAAGUGGAGUAAGGUUCCAUAUUAACAUUGAUUGUAUAUGGGUUAGACGAUCCUAAGAAAACAAUGAAAAUAAUAAUAUUGAUAAUAGUUUAUAUAAUUUUAAAUUAUAUAUUAUUAGCAAUAAUAAUAUAUAAUAAUAUUUAUAUAAAAUUUUUCAAAAGGGAAUUAAGUUAAUAUUCUUAAUCCAAAUAUGGAUAUUAUAUGGUAACAUAAAUAAUUUCAAAUAAAUUAAUAUUAAUACUAGGAAGAGUUAUCUUUUCUUUUUAACUAUAUUAAUUUUUAUUAUAACUUUAUUAUAAUAUUUAAUUAUUAUAGCAAUAUAAUAAUUAUAUGUUAUAAUAAAAAUAAUAAAAUAUAUAAUACCUUGAAAUUUAAUUAUUAAGAGAAAAGGUAUUAAUAUAGUAAGAAUAUUUAUUAUAUUUAAUUAAAUAUCUAGUUUAUUAAUAAUAAUCCUUGAAAAUUUGAAUAAGAGAAUUAUAAUCAUAUUUGUUCGUACUAAUUACCGCAGCAGGUCUCCAAGGUGUAUAGCCUCUAGUUAAUAGAAUAACGUAGGUAAGGGAAGUCGGCAAAAUAGAUCCGUAACUUUGGGAAAAGGAUUGGCUCUGAAAAUUAAGCCAUUAAAAAUAUAUUAAAUAAUUAAUAUUAUUUGAUUUAUAAUUUUAUGGUUAACUCUUAU
rnacentral:rRNA from 1 species